AAUACUGACAACGGCGUAACCAAAUACUUUACGUUGUAAGAGUUAUCUCCCCAAACACUGUUUUUCUUGUGGCCACUACUCUGACGCAACUGUAAAAGAUUACGACAAAAUUAUUUUACCAGAUUGCUCGUUACAUCUUCAGGAUUGGGAUUUUAAUUUUGACCGAAGCUAUCCAGAGACUCCAUAUGAGAGUUAUUCCCCCUUAUGUAUUUGAU
rnacentral:lncRNA from 1 species